UACGAAGGGUGCAAACGUUGCUCGGAAUCAUUGGGCGUAAAGCGCACGUAGGCGGCCCCAAAAGUUGGAUGUGAAAUCCCUCGGCUCAACCGAGGACGUGCAUCCAAAACUGUGGGGCUUGAGUACUGAAGAGGAUCGCGGAAUUCCCGGUGUAGAGGUGAAAUUCGUAGAUACCGGGAGGAACACCAGUGGCGAAGGCGGCGAUCUGGGCAGAUACUGACGCUGAGGUGCGAAAGCGUGGGGAGCAAACAGG
rnacentral:rRNA from 1 species